GAGCUCAGUCAGUAGAGCAUGAGGUUGAUGAUCUCAUGGUUAUGGGUUCAAGCCCCAUGUUGGGCA